GGUGAGGGGAAAGAAAGAGAAAUGGUCACUGCAGUGGCACCUGGCCACAAGAAGGAGAGCCAUUUAGCUGUCCGAUGUCGGGAACCACUUCUCCCAGACACUAGUCAAUAUCCAGACCACCUCACUCCUCCAUUUGUUUGGAUUCUGUGGCUAUCAGCACGGGGUUGACUGAAACAGACGCAGGAG